AUGGAGAGGCCCAGCAAACUGCCUGCCGUCUCUCUCCUCGGAACCCCUACGUUUUCGGGACCCCAAGGUUGGGCUGACCUCCCAGAUGGCUUGCUUCACUCCAUCGUUGAUCGGCUGGGCUCCUUCCGAGACCUUCUUGGCUUCGCCGCGACAUGCCCCUCGUGGCAGGCUGCCUACUUGGCAUACCCAUCCAAAUCUAUAUUCUGCACAAAAUUCCCACCUCUCCUCAUCCAGCCCCGUGUCCGUGCACAAGGUCCUCUUCUUCCUUGUACUGGCGGUUGCCAUGAGCUAGUCACAUGUAAGGUUAUUGAUCCAGCAAACCCAAACACGGCCCUUCGCUGCCGGAUCCCUCAAAAAACGCUCGAGAUGAAGUUGAUAGGUUGUUCCUAUGGUAAUGUCAUCUACUACUGCGACGGAUGCUGUCGCAUCGUCGAUGUGUUCACUGGUGUGGAGGUCUCAACUCCACGUCUCCCAUCCAGUGUUGUGCAUUUCAAAUUCUUCCUGAAGGGCAUUCUAACAGCCCCCCUUGCAUCACCCAACUCACAUCUCCUUGUCAGUACCAGCUCAUCCCUGUUAGAUUUGCCUGUUGGAAGUGACUCUUGGUUUGAAGUCCAGCUUCCUCAUAUGUUCGAAAUAGGCGAGAUUGUGGAAUUCAAUUGCCAGUUCAUUCUGUCGGAUGGCCAUGCGAGCUUCUACACUGUGCAGCUGGUCCCUCGGCUUGGUCUGCAUGCGAUUUUUUUUUCUUUUUUCGAAAAGGAGGAAUACCCCCGGCCUCUGCAUCUGGAUGAUGCAUACGACCACUUUAUUGAUUAUAACACAAGACCUUACAAAGUCGUACAACAGUAA
rnacentral:rRNA from 1 species